rnacentral:rRNA from 1 species
CAGUCGCCGCGGGAAUACGUAGGGUGCGAGCGUUAAUCGGAAUUACUGAGCGUAAAGCGUGCGCAGGCGGUUGUGUAAGACAGGUGUGAAAUCCCCGAGCUUAACCUGGGAACUGCGCUUGUGACUGCACAGCUAGAGUAUGGCAGAGGGGGGUGGAAUUCCACGUGUAGCAGUGAAAUGCGUAGAGAUGUGGAGGAACACCGAUGGCGAAGGCAGCCCCCUGGGCCAAUACUGACGCUCAUGCACGAAAGCGUGGGGAGCAAACAGGAUUAGAUACCCCGGUAGUCCCUGUCUCUUAUAA